rnacentral:misc_RNA from 1 species
AGAGAAUGAAAGUCAUGUUUUCGAGAUGUGGUGCCAAACCAAAUAGACAACAAAUUGACUUACUCCACUUUUGCAUUAAUCGGCUUAAUUCAUAUUUACCGCACCAAAAUUCGCGCUACGAGGAAUCACAAGCUACGUCGGUACAUGAGGUUCUCAAAAUUUACGCUACGGGGAGGCACAAGAUACGACGGUAUAUAACCACAGACGAGAACAAUGUCACUAGGAGAUGACCACUGAUCCUCUGGCAAGAGUUCCACUACAACUGCAUCGCCAUCAACAGCUCUAUUAAGGUUACUGCGACCUUGGAUAAAAAUCUAUAAUCAAAUAUAUGUAAUAAAUACAUAUCUAUUAAAAAUAUAGAAAACAAGUACUCACAGAUUUUUCAACUCCAUCUACAUUCACAAAUCCUUCAAGAAAAUUUUCUUUUGAAGCUUGAAAGGUUCCCUGCACAAGUUUCCCAUUUUUUAUGCCUUCAUGUAAUUCAAAUGGUGUAAGAUGACAUGGGAAAAUUUCUGGGCCCUCAAAUACUGCACCAUAACUCUUUUUACAUAAUUUAUCAGCCAAAAAGCCUGAAUUUUCUAACGAGAAUAUAUAAUCUUCCACUAAAAAAACAACAAUGUAAAUUAAAAUAAAAAUUAGAGUAUCUUUGAAGUUAUUAAACAAAUAAUUUUACUUGAAAUAACUGGGAUCCCUUCUUUUUCUGCUAAUUCUCUGUUGCGUGUAUCAUCUGUUAAUAGGACAGUUUUGAUUGUAUUGUCAUCUAAAUUUAAAUGUGCAUUAUACCACUUUGUUGCAACCCUAAUUGCCCUAUCAUUUCUGUCAUUUGUACUUUCACCAGGGUCACGUUGGACAUAAGUAUCUCUGUAUAGAAGUAAUAAAAAAAGUAAAUGAUAAUAAGACAUACCUAAUAAAAUAAAUAAAUAAAUACGAUAUUGUUAACAUACUUAUGAUGUUCAUUAACAAAUACAUAAAAUUUCCUUUGUGGAUUAUUGAUAAUAUUCCUUAAUCUUUUAUAUACGAUGGAACUUUUAUGUUUCAAUUCUUCCAACACUGUUUGCACAAUUAUGACAUUGCAAAUAAUAUCUUCUUCCAAAAUGUCAAU